CCAGGCUCCCCUUGCCAUCAUUUUAGGCAUUUAAGCUGUUUCUACUCUAGAUGAGAGGUGCUUGCCUGAAGGCAGGCACACACACUUUAAGGAAGCUGUGUUGUCGAAGGCUUUCAUGGCCGGGAUCACAGGAUUGUUGUAUGUUUUCCAGGCUGUAUGGCCAUGUUCCAGAAGUAUUCUCUCCUGAAGUUUUGCACACAUCUAUGGCAGGCAUCCUCAGAAGUUGUGAGACUUGGAAACGACGACGUAUCCUUUGGCUUCUUCGGCGAUGACUCUUGGACUACGGCUGGCUUUGACAACUCAUUCUUGCAGUUAACUCUUUGGGGGCAGCGCUGUCUGUUGGAACUCUUGUGUACAGCGCUGCUUGUUUGCUGGUUACUUUGACUGCUUUUUAAUCUGGUUUUUCCUUCUGUUUAACCCGGAUUAUUUUCCGUUUGCCUUUUGGAGCCCAGUUUGGGUAAAUUAUUUGAGUUUUCGCCAGAGACACUGAAGUUAAGUGUCUCUGAGCUUUUAUUUGUUUUUUGCAAUAAACCUUUUGUUGGACUAAA